rnacentral:misc_RNA from 1 species
GCUGUGGCUGCUGACAAACCUGAUGAAUCUGAAAAGCCUGUUGAAUCUGAAGAAGGGGUUGACCUUGAUGGUGACAAUGAACAAGAGGAGACAAUGGAAGAAGAAGUUGAGUAUGAGGAGGUAGAGGAAGAGGAGGAAGUGGAGGAGAUAGAGGAAGAGGAAGAAGUAGAAGAGGAGGUGGAAGAAGAGGAAGAAAUUGAGGAGAGAGCAGACGAGGCUGAUGCACAAAAAGGCUCAGACAGCGAGGAGGAAGAUGAGGGAAAAAAUCGUGCUGAACUUCUUGCACUUCCUCCUCAUGGAUCAGAGGUGUACCUUGGUGGCAUUCCUCAUGAUGCCACUGAAGAGGAUCUCAGGGGUUUUUGUGAAUCUAUAGGAGAAGUCACAGAAGUAAGGAUAAUGAAGGGAAAAGAUACAGGUGAGGCCAAGGGGUAUGCUUUUGUGACCUUCAGAUCAAAGGAGUUAGCUUCCAAGGCGAUUGAAGAUCUGAACAAUGCUGAGCUUAAGGGGAAAAAGAUAAGAUGUUCAACAUCUCAAGC